GCCCCCAUAGCUCAGUGGUAGAGCGUUUCACUCGUAACUUAUAUAGAUAUUAUCUAUAUAAUAUAACGAUAUGAAAAGGUCCACUGUUCGAUCCAGUGUCGGGGCA
rnacentral:tRNA from 1 species